rnacentral:ncRNA from 1 species
AGAAGCCGGAUGAAUCGGGAGAUUCACGUCCGGUUUCGUGAGCACCUCGGGGUGAGAUUCCCCGGGGUGACUCGAC